GACGAACGCUGGCGGCGUGCUUAACACAUGCAUGUCGAACGGUAAGGCUCCAGUUUGCUGGGGUACACGAGUGGCGAACGGGUGAGUAACACGUGGGUGACCUGCCCUGCACUUCGGGAUAAGCCUGGGAAACUGGGUCUAAUACCGGAUAGGACCAUGGUGUGGAUACUGUGGUGGAAAGUUUUUUCGGUGUGGGAUGGGCCCGCGGCCUAUCAGCUUGUUGGUGGGGUAUUGGCUUACCAAGGCGGUGACGGGGAGCCGGCCUGAGAGGGUGACCGGCCACAUUGGGACUGAGACACGGCCCAGACUCCUACGGGAGGCAGCAGUGGGGAAUAUUGCACAAUGGGCGGAAGCCUGAUGCAGCAACGCCGCGUGGGGGAUGACGGCCUUCGGGUUGUAAACUCCUUUCACCAUCGACGAAGGGUGUGUGACGGUAGUUGGUAAAGAAGCACCGGCUAACUACGUG
rnacentral:rRNA from 1 species